ensembl:lncRNA
AUGUGGGAGGAGGGAAUUUUCUGCUUCAUUCCCCCCUCCAUGGGAUGCUGUAUUUCCUUCUCUUCCUUCCUGGGCACUCAAUCUCCUGAUCAGGAAUUUUUUUGGGUGGAAAAGCUGAUUUUUCAAGAGGUUUUUGCACCUUCAGUGACUCGAUUUAGGAACAAUGCCAGUCCACCCUGGAAAAGGAAGGUGUUUAAAGAUAAAUCCUUAUCCACUGACACCAUUUUCACACUCCCAUCAGAGCAGUUCCCACUUUUCCCUGCACCUAAUCCCAGUUCUCCUCUGCUGCAGUUUCCCUCCUUGCUCUGGCUUUGGAUUUCAUCAGCCAAAAGGACACAGCCUUUCCAUCUCAGAACAAAGUGCUCCUCUGAAUUUCUCCUUCCUGAGGAAGGAAAAGACAGAAGGUUCCAACGUUGGCAGGUUGAUUAGAGGAGCUAAUUGCAUUUUUAUUAAUGGGCCUGCUAGAUUUUCUCAGCAGAGGAGUUGCCAGGCCUGCAGCAACCCAAGGCCUGAUUUUGCUUCUUGUUGUGCUUUGAGGGUUGGUGCUCACCAGAGGGACAAGGUGGAUUUAAUCAUGUAAAAACUGGAGUCGGCGUGGAGCCUCUAAUUUAAUAUGGAAUGUGGGAAGGAAAGGGAGAAAAUGAACAAGGAGAUAAAAGGAUAAUUAUAAGAAUGAUAAAAUCACCGAAGAGACCAUGGGCAGGGACACCUUCACUGCUCCAGGCUGCUCCAGCCUGGCCUGGGCACUUCCAGGGAUCCAGGAACAGCCACAGCUGCUCUGGGAAUCUGUUCCAGGGCCUCCCCACCUUCACUGGGAUGAAUUUCUUCCUAAAAUAUUUGUCUGUGGAGCAGCAACCACAUCUCCCAGCUUCCAGAAAAACUUCCAGACCGGGAAGGUCCCUGAUCCAGAGCCAGCCCUUCUCCUGGUGACAAAGCCAGCAGCUGGCAGGGGACAGGCUGGGGGUUUGGACUGCAUCCUCCCCAUCCCCAUGGCACAAAACAGAGCUCCUGUAACCCCCAGCACACUCCUGCCUGGUUGUGACCGACCUGCUGAGGCUUCCCGGGAGAAACCUGGAAUCUGACGUUGCUCCUGGCCAGUAUCUGCAUUAAAACCCACAAUUGUUCCCUGUAUUUUAUGCAGAAAUCUCACUUUAAGUGCUUGAAGAAGAAACCCACCCACUUCCACGCAGAACAUUUGUUUAUUGAUGGUUUUACCACGCAUCUGUUGACGCCACAAUUCCGUCUUCCACGAGAGAAAGAGGAAGAACAAAGGAAAAAUGACACAUCGAGUCUGAGAGGAGAAUUCCUGAUUCUGCUCGGGAAUGGGAGCUGAGCAAGCAGAAAACAAAAGCUUCUGUAGAAAUACAGCCCAGAUGUAGCUCCAAAUUGUUAAUCAGCAAAACUCUGUGUUCGAUAAAAAAGAUUUGAUAAGGAAUCCUGUCUGUUGGACACCAGUGUCACUCAUCCAGGGCCCUCAUGAGCAAUUCCUAUUUUUGAAUUAAUGAAUAAUGUGCACAAUGUUUGAUAAGCUUCCUCCACCAAGCCAUGCAAGCACAGAAUGUACAAUCCUAAUUAGCUGCUUUGCCCGGCUACUUAAAAUGUUUUUCACAUGCCAGCAAAUGUAAAUACACAAUUAGGACAUGCUUAGUUAAAAGGCAAAGUGAGAUAAAGUACAACUAUUAUUAGCCAGAACAAAAAUCUUCAUGAUCUUCAUCAUAGCGAGGGCUAAUUAGGUUGGGAAAAUGUGCAAAUGAGCUCAGCUGAUUGUUCAGGGUUUGGAAAGCAGAGCCCAGCUGGAAAGUCCAAGACUGAGGGUGUUGAGGGGUGGGUUUGUGAUUAUUGGUUCUGGGGGCUGCUGUCUGCACAAGUGUGAAAAUAGUCAGCAUUUGUGUUAACAGGAAUUGGGAAAGAGGUCAUAGGAGAUCUUCAUGGCAGAUGAACCCCAAAAAAUGUCAAUUCUAUCAGCUGGUUUGUGUGGCUGGGUGUCUUUCUAUUCAUAUUUGGGGAGUGAAUAAAAUUCAGCUCAUUGUCA